GAGAGUGUGUCAGUGUAGAGAGUGUGUCAGUGUAGAGAGAGUGUGUCAGUGUAGAGAGAGUGUGUCGGUGUAGAGAGUGUGUUAGUGUAGAGAGAGUGUGUCAGUGUAGAGAGAGUGUGUCAGUGUAGAGAGAGUGUGUGUAGAGAGAGUGUGUGUAGAGAGAGUGUGUCAGUGUAGAGAGAGUGUUUCAGUGUAGAGAGUGUGUUAGUGUAGAGAGAGUGUGUGUAGAGAGAGUGUGUCAGUGUAGAGAGAGUGUGUCAGUGUAGAGAGAGUGUGUCAGUGUAGAGAGAGUGUCAGUGUAGAGAGUGUGUUGGUGUAGAGAGUGUGUCAGUGUAGAGAGUGUGUCAGUGUAGAGAGUGUCAGUGUAGAGAGAGUGUGUCAGUGUAGAGAGUGUGUCAGUGUAGAGAGUGUGUCAGUGUAGAGAGAGUGUGUCAGUGUAGAGAGAGUGUCAGUGUAGAGAGUGUGUCAGUGUAGAGAGUGUGUCAGUGUAGAGAGUGUGUCAGUGUAGAGAGAGUGUGUCAGUGUAGAGAGAGUGUGUCAGUGUAGAGAGAGUGUCAGUGUAGAGAGUGUGUGUAGAGAGAGUGUGUUAGUGUAGAGAGAGUGUGUCAGUGUAGAGAGUUUGUCGGUGUAGAGAGAGUGUGUCAGUGUAGAGAGUGUGUCAGUGUAGAGAGUGUGUCAGUGUAGAGAGUUUGUCGGUGUUGAGAGAGUGUGUCAGUGUAGAGAGAGUGUGUGUAGAGAGAGUGUGUCAGUGUAGAGAGAGUGUGUGUAGAGAGAGUGUGUUAGUGUAGAGAGAGUGUGUGUAGAGAGAGUGUGUCAGUGUAGAGAGAGUGUGUCAGUGUAGAGAGAGUGUCAGUGUAGAGAGAGUGUGUGUAGAGAGAGUGUGUGUAGAGAGAGUGUGUCAGUGUAGAGAGAGUGUUUCAGUGUAGAGAGUGUGUUAGUGUAGAGAGAGUGUGUGUAGAGAGAGUGUGUCAGUGUAGAGAGAGUGUGUCAGUGUAGAGAAGGUGUGUCAGUGUAGAGAGAGUGUGUGUAGAGAGAGUGUCAGUGUGGAGAGAGUGUCAGUGUAGAGAGAGUGUGUCAGUGUAGAGAGUGUGUCAGUGUAGAGAGAGUGUGUCAGUGUAGAGAGUGUGUCAGUGUAGAGAGAGUGUGUCAGUGUAGAGAGAGUGUGUCAGUGUAGAGAGAGUGUCAGUGUAGAGAGAGUGUGUUGGUGUAGAGAGUGUGUCAGUGUAGAGAGUGUCAGUGUAGAGAGAGUGUGUCAGUGUAGAGAGUGUGUCAGUGUAGAGAGAGUGUGUCAGUGUAGAGAGAGUGUGUGUAGAGAGAGUGUGUGUAGAGAGAGUGUGUCAGUGUAGAGAGUGUGUCAGUGUAGAGAGUGUGUCAGUGUAGAGAGAGUGUGUGUGUAGAGAGAGUGUGUUAGUGUAGAGAGAGUGUGUCAGUGUAGAGAGAGUGUGUCGGUGUAGAGAGAGUGUGUUAGUGUAGAGAGAGUGUGUCAGUGUAGAGAGUUUGUCGGUGUAGAGAAAGUGUGUCAGUGUAGAGAGUGUGUCAGUGUAGAGAGAGUGUGACAGUGUAGAGAGAGUGUUUCAGUGUAGAGAGUUUGUCGGUGUUGAGAGAGUGUGUCAGUGUAGAGAGAGUGUGUCAGUGUAGAGGAAGUGUGUCAGUGUAGAGAGAGUGUGUGUAGAGAGAGUGUGUCAGUGUGGAGAGAGUGUCAGUGUAGAGAGAGUGUGUCAGUGUAGAGAGUGUGUCAGUGUAGAGAGAGUGUGUCAGUGUAGAGAGAGUGUCGGUGUAGAGAGUGUGUCGGUGUAGAGAUAGUGUGUCAGUGUAGAGAGAGUGGGUCAGUGUAGAGAGUGUGUCAGUGUAGAGAGAGUGUGUCAGUGUAGAGAGAGUGUCAGUGUAGAGAGUGUGUCAGUGUAGAGAGAGUGUCAGUGUAGAGAGAGUGUCAGUGUAGAGAGAGUGUGUCGGUGUAGAGAGUGUGUUAGUGUAGAGAGAGUGUGUCAGUGUAGAGAGAGUGUGUCAGUGUAGAGAGUGUGUUAGUGUAGAGAGAGUGUCAGUGUAGAGAGAGUGUGUCAGUGUAGAGAGAGUGUGUGUAGAGAGAGUGUGUGUAGAGAGAGUGUGUCAGUGUAGAGAGAGUGUUUCAGUGUAGAGAGUGUGUUAGUGUAGAGAGAGUGUGUGUAGAGAGAGUGUGUCAGUGUGGAGAGAGUGUCAGUGUAGAGAGAGUGUGUCAGUGUAGAGAGUGUGUCAGUGUAGAGAGAGUGUCAGUGUAGAGAGUGUGUCAGUGUAGAGAGUGUGUCAGUGUAGAGAGUGUGUCAGUGUAGAGAGAGUGUCAGUGUAGAGAGUGUGUUGGUGUAGAGAGUGUGUCAGUGUAGAGAGUGUGUCAGUGUAGAGAGAGUGUGUCAGUGUAGAGAGAGUGUCAGUGUAGAGAGUGUGUGUAGAGAGAGUGUGUUAGUGUAGAGAGAGUGUGUCAGUGUAGAGAGAGUGUGUCAGUGUAGAGAGAGUGUCAGUGUAGAGAGUGUGUGUAGAGAGAGUGUGUUACUGUAGAGAGAGUGUGUCAGUGUAGAGAGUUUGUCGGUGUAGAGAGUGUGUCAGUGUAGAGAGUGUGUCAGUGUAGAGAGUGUGUCAGUGUUGAGAGAGUGUGUCAGUGUAGAGAGAGUGUGUCAGUGUCGAGAGUGUGUCAGUGUAGAGAGAGUGUGUCAGUGUAGAGAAGUUGUGUCAGUGUAGAGAGAGUGUGUCAGUGUAGAGAGAGUGUGUGUAGAGAGAGUGUGUGUAGAGAGAGUGUGUCAGU
ensembl:lncRNA